rnacentral:rRNA from 1 species
CAGGCACUCAGUCGAUACUACCCGCUCAGUGGGACAUCAUAGAGGGUGACAAUCCCGUCUUUGGUGCUGAUGUUCGAGUCCUUUACGAUGCCUAUCUCAGGAGAGUCGAGUAGUUUGGGAUUUGCUGCUUGAACAUGGGAGGUAGACACCUUCUAAAGCUAAAUAUUGGCAAGAGACCGAUAGUGGACAAGUACCGCAAGGGAAAGAUGAAAUAGCACUCUGUAAAGGGAGUCAAAAGGCGUGAAAUUGUUGCGAGAGAAGCGAUUCAAGUCAGCUUGACUAGGCCCAUGAUGACAUCCGUCCUCUGGACUAGUCUCGCCAGCGGUCUCAUCUUAUUACGGUUUGACUAAGGUGCGGUACAUCCUCAACGCACGGCUGGUGGAAUGGCUUGCAAUCGACCCGUCUUGAAACACGGACCAAGGAGUCUAACAUGCAUGCAAGUAUAAGGGUGACAAACCCGUAUGCGCAAUGAAAGUGACUUUCAGUGAUUGUUGUGUGGCUUGACGACCAGACAGGAAAUAUCAUGUCCCUCGGAUGGCCACUGCCCAAGUUCUGUGGUACGAACCCAUGAACAUGGAGACGGAGCAUGCAUGCUAGGACCCGAAAGAUGGUGAACUAUGCCUGGACAGAGCGAAGCCAAAGGAAACUCUGGUGGAGGCUCGUAGCGAUUCUGACGUGCAAAUCGAUCGUCUGAUCUGGGUAUAGGGGCGAAAGACUAUCUGGACAGAGCGAAGCCAAAGGAAACUCUGGUGGAGGCUCGUANCGAUUCUGA